GCGAGACCAACGGGGAAAGGAACAGGGCGUGGCCCCACAUGGUGGCUUGCCGUCUGCUUCACUGUUUCAUACCUUUCUCUGUACAAUUUCUUCAGCUUCAGAAACUAUGUACAAGUCUCUACAUCUAUUCUUCAAAUUUUCAGAUCCACCGCCCCUUCUAGCUCUCUACACUGUACCCUGAACCGUUACUGAUGUGCACUUUGUUCAGUUUAUUUUUAGAAGGGAUUUGAGAUGGUGCCCGACAUUAUAGUAAGUUCAAGACUGUUGCUGAAUGAGCGGUGUGUGCAACCAGACCUCCGUCCACUUGUUUCUAUGUUUGAAUAUUCACCGGUUCUUGAGAAUCUGACGCUUCAAUUGCGCAAG
rnacentral:lncRNA from 1 species